rnacentral:lncRNA from 1 species
AAGGUAAGUGAUAUCACUGAUGGAAAAAACAGAUGCCUCUACUAGCACCUAUUAAAUUUCUCAAGACUCGUGAAGACAAUAUGAAGAUAACCUCGUUAUAAGAUCAACCAUGCAUUCCCAUGUUUCAUCCGCUAUGUUUAUAUCAUAUACCAACGCACGUCCGACCCUAUAUUAACCAGUAAACUGUUACAAGCUUAUAGAGAAUUCAAUUAUCAUAGUGUAUAUCCUUCUAUACCACAAGUGACGGAAUUUAAACUGGUUAAUUCAAUAUUUUAUCAAGAACUACACCAUAUAUAGCGAGAGUUGAUUAACUAGACAAGUCUCUAAGCACUUUACUUAGCAAAUGACCAAACCCAAGAUCUAGAAUACCCAACCCAUCCUACCUAGACUUCAAUGUCAACCUGUUCACUCUCUAGCUAGCCAACCGGCUCAACUAUAGUUGCCUAGCUAAUCAGCACACUUACAAUCCAUUAUAGGGUAAUUGCAAUGCUCCUGCACCAAAACUAUCAAAAGCGCU